UACAGAGGCCUCAAGCGUUGUUCGGAUUCAUUGGGCGUAAAGGGUGCGUAGGUGGUUGGGUAAGCCAAAUGUGAAAUCCCGGAGCUCAACUCCGGAACUGCAUUCGAUACUGCCCGGCUAGAGGAUUGGAGAGGAGACUGGAAUUCACGGUGUAGCAGUGAAAUGCGUAGAUAUCGUGAGGAACACCCGUGGCGAAGGCGGGUCUCUGGACAAUUCCUGACCCUGAAGCACGAAGGCCAGGGGAGCAAACGGG
rnacentral:rRNA from 1 species